AAAUAAAUAUCUAAAUUUUAAAUAUAUCAUUUACAAUGAUAAAAUGUUUGUUUUAACUUUAUUUA
rnacentral:tRNA from 1 species